rnacentral:rRNA from 1 species
UUCCGGUUGAUCCUGCCGGACCUGACUGCUAUCGGAUUGAUACUAAGCCAUGCGAGUCUUUGCAGUAAUGCAAGGCAGACGGCUCAGUAACACGUAGUCAACUUACCCUAUGGACGAGGAUAAUCUCGGGAAACUGAGCAUAAUACUCGAUAGAUCAUAAUGCCUGGAAUGGUUUAUGGUUAAAAUGAUUCGUCGCCAUAGGAUGGGACUGCGGCCUAUCAGCUUGUUGGUGAGGUAAUGGCCCACCAAGGCGAUUACAGGUACGGGCUCUGAGAGGAGAAGCCCGGAGAUGGGUACUGAGACAAGGACCCAGGCCCUAUGGGGCGCAGCAGGCGAGAAAACUUUGCAAUGUGCGAAAGCACGACAAGGUUAAUCCGAGUGAUUUCUGCUAAAGAAAUCUUUUGCAAGUCAUAAAACCACUAGUGAAUAAGGGGUGGGCAAGUUCUGGUGUCAGCCGCCGCGGUAAAACCAGCACCUCAAGUGGUCAGGAGGAUUAUUGGGCCUAAAGCAUCCGUAGCCGGCUCUGUAAGUUUUCGGUUAAAUCCAUGUGCUCAACGCAUGGGCUGCCGAAAAUACUGCAUAGCUAGGGAGUGGGAGAGGUAGACGGUACUCAGUAGGAAGGGGUAAAAUCCUUUGAUCUAUUGAUGACCACCUGUGGCGAAGGCGGUCUACCAGAACACGUUCGACGGUGAGGGAUGAAAGCUGGGGGAGCAAACCGGAUUAGAUACCCGGGUAGUCCCAGCUGUAAACGAUGCAGACUCGAUGAUGCAUUGGCAUAUAGCCAGUGCAGUGUCGCAGGGAAGCCGUUAAGUCUGCCGCCUGGGAAGUACGUACGCAAGUAUGAAACUUAAAGGAAUUGGCGGGGGAGCACCACAAGGGGUGAAGCCUGCGGUUCAAUUGGAUUCAACGCCGG